AAACAUCUCCUUUUGGAGUUUUCAUAUUAAAGGUAGUCCCUGCUCCCUGUCUUUAAUAAAGAGCUGCAGUAUUUAGGCUGUACUAAGGUAGCAUAAUAAUUUGUUUUUUAAUUAAAAGCUAGAAUGAAAGGGUUGACGUGAAAAUUAUUUUUCCAGGCUUCCUGUAGAAAUUAUAUCUAGGUGAAAAUACCUAGAAUUGCCCGGUAGACGAUAAGACCCUAUAAAAUUUCACCUCAUACUCAUGAGUUUAGGUAAUUGCUUUGUAAAAGGUUUGGUUGGGACGACAUUCACAAAAAAGCUGUGGCGGAUUUUAAACACUGUUGUGUGGAGUGUAAGACCUCAAAAUCUAUAAACUAAAUUACUUUAGGGAUAACAGCGUAAUCUUCUUUAGAGCUCUAAUCAAAAAGGGGGUUUACGACCUCGAUGUUGAAUUAAGGUACCCUUAAGGCGCAGUUGU
rnacentral:rRNA from 1 species